rnacentral:rRNA from 1 species
UCGUACCGUAAACCGACACAGGUGGAUGGGGAGAGAAUCCCAAGGCGUACGGGACAAUGUUCGUUCAGGAACUCGGCAAAAAAGCGGCCGUACCUUCGGUAUAUGGCCUGACCUUUUAUAUGCUGGGUAGUGAGAAAUAAUGGCUGACAUUCGAUCCCCAAAGACCGCAGGUUGGUGGGAGCUGCGAUCCGGUAGGGGUCGGGUGUCAGUCUGGAAAAAUCGUAUGGAGGGUCCAUACGACGCGUUAACGAAACUCGUGUUUAUAUCCGGAUUUGCCGGCAACCAUGUGGCCUGAAGGGUCGCAGUCUUGGUUGUUCAGGCGGCGAGCGAUCCGGCUUUGCAGCUCACGAGCUAGUUACAAGCUAAUCUGUAGAGCCCGUUUUUUGGAACGGGGACGGACACAACAAACUCCGUCUGUGAGUUUCCAUCUAUAGAGUAGUUAUUGCUUGUGUCGGAGUCUUCGCUCCGGACGCGUUCGUCUUGUCUGCGGUUAGUUGCAGCACCAUGUCAGUUCAACGACACUGGUGUCUGCAGCUUUCCGCGGACCAACCUAAAAAUUGCGAUUAGAAAAAUCGUACUCACUACCCAGUAUAUAAAAGGCCCGCAGCGAAAGACCUCUCCCGACUGUUUACCAAAAACACAGGUCCGUGCUAAAGCGCAAGCUGAUGUAUACGGGCUGAUGCCUGGCCAGUGUCAGAAGGUUAAGAGAACUUGGGCAACCUCGUUCUUCAAGCCCUGAUGAACGCCGGCAGUAACUAUAACUGUCCUAUGGUAGCGAAAUUCCUUGUCGCGUAAGUUGCGACCCGCACGAAUGGCAUAACGAGUAGAGGACUGUCUUGACGAACAACCCGAUGAAUUUACAGUGACGGUAAAGAUGCCGUCUGCCCGCAACAAGACGGAAAGACCCUAUGAAGCUUUACUAUAGCGUGCUAUUGAAAUAAGAACUUUGCUGCUUAGCAUAGGUGGGAGACUCUGAAGCGCCGCUCUGGCGGUUGCUGAGUCGAAAUGUGAAAUACCACCCUGUAAAAUUUUUGUUUCUAACCAGUACUUAACCUAUACUGGGACAGUGGCUCGUGGGUAGUUUAACUGGGGCGGUUGCCUCCUAAAUGGUAACGGAGGCGUUUAUUAAGGUAAGCUAAACGCGGAUGGAAAUCGCGUUGAUAGUGCAAACGCACAAGCUUGCUUGACUGCAAGGCCAGCGAGCCGCGCAGGUACGAAAGUAGAAGUUAGUGAUCCGAUGCGUUAGAGUGGAAUACGCAAAGCCCAACGGAUAAAAGUUACUCUAGGGAUAACAGGCUGAUCCUGUCCAAGAGUCCACAUCGACGACAGGGUUUGGCACCUCGAUGUCGGCUCAUCACGUCCUGGGGGUGGAGAAGCUCCCAAGGGUUAGGCUGUUCGCCUAUUAAAGUGGUACGCGAGCUGGGUUCAAAACGUCGUGAGACAGUUUGGUCCUUAUCUGUUGUGGGUGUACGAAAUUUGAGUGGGCACAUCUCUAGUACGAGAGGACCGAGAUGUAUGGACCUCUGGUGUACCCGUUGUCGCGUCCGCGGCAUGGCGGGGUAGCUAGGUCCAGUUCAGAUAAGCGCUGAAGGCAUAUAAGCGCGAAGCUGUCCACAAAACUAGAUUUCGUUGUUCUAGUUUACUAGAACGUAAGAUUCGCAGAAGACUACUGCGUAUUAUAAUCAAGAAUUUUAUGGAUGAUUUGUAGCAAUACAAAUUUGAAGUGAAGUUUACGAUU